GGCCCAGCCUAGUCACGAGGCUCUCCGCUCUGGCACCUCGCGCCGCAUCCUGAAACGUCGCUUUCUUCCCUAAAAAAAAUGUCGCUCUCCCCUUCCUCCAUCGCCUCCAGCUCCAGUGCUCCAUCCGCCAUCGCCUCCAGUGUUCCCUCCGUCAUCGCCGGCGCACGGCACUGACCGGAAAACACGCUCUCAGAUAGGCGCCAGCACCGCCGCCGCUUCCAGGUUCGGAGCGCCCUUGACCGGCAGCCGGCCUCCAUUGCCCCGGCCAGGUCGCAGGUGUAGCUCCAAGAACAGGUGUUUUGUGGCGUGUAUUGAUGACCAAUAGCGAAUACGAGUAUGUGAAGAGGGAAUUCGAGUUCGACCGUCACCUCCCAGCCUCCAACUGGAUCAUUGUGCGCUUCGAUGGCUGUCAUUUCCACCGUUUUGUUUUCAGAGGGGACAUAAUUCUAUCACAGAUUUCUCUACCAAUAAUUGCAGCAAAAUUCUCUCUUUGUGUGUUUCUUACUUCACAUCUGUGUAUGUGAUGAAGUGGAAAGAUUUCUUUCCCAAAUAAAGAGUUGAGAGAGGCUCCAUAUUUUGAUGGGCGAGUUGUCUGCUAUCCAAAUAUGAAGACGAUUCAUGAUUAUUUGGCAUGGAGGCAACUGGACUGCCACAACAGGAUCCAGUACAAGACAUGCUUUUGGAUGCUAGUGAAGUCCCGAAAGGGCGAAAACGAAGCUUACGAUAUGCUGAAGUCUUCUUUCAUCAUCUACGUCAAAGGACAAGAAUGAGCUGCUCUUUCAGCCGUUUGAAAUGAACUACAACAACGAACCGGCCAUGUACUGAAAGGCUUCAUGUGCUUACCGUGUAAAGGUAUGUUUACCAUCAUCCAAGAACGAUUUUCAACAACAAUGCUGUUUGUGCUGCAGUUUCAUAUUAAGCAUUCCAAAAUAAAAUGUAGCGAUGCUGAAGAAACAAGAUUUACUUUGCCUAAUAAAAGAUCAAAGUAUUUUCUUUUCCAACCCUGUAUGUAUUACGAUGAUGGGUUGUGCGGAGCGGCUUAUAGCUGUGCGGGGCGAGUAGGUGGUGGCUCAGGGCAUGGUAGUGCAGCAUCGGUGGUGGCCUGCGGUGCAUCUUCUCCUUCCGCAGCGUCCGGGAAGACGACGGGAUCCGGCAGUCUGCUGGGUACCCUGCUUAGCACCCCAGGCACAGCCCGCGUGCGGUGCUGCUGGAGCUAGUCAUCCCCCGGCGUCGCUUCCUGGCAUCUUCGCGUGGGUGCUGCGUCCGGUCCUUGGUCCUGUGCACCCACCUCGCCUGGAGCGGAGGGAGUCCUGCGGGCACCAGAUGUGCGCAGCAGCAGCCUUGUCUUCGCCACCGAUUGCGUGCACCAGCUCAUCCCCACCCACGCCUGCUUCGUGUCUCUCCCGCUCUCCCGCGUCGACAUGUUAUCCGUUCCAUAACCUCCAGAUGCCUCUGAAAAUAUGGCAUGCUGUCGUCGAAGCGCCAGCCCACGGCCUCCCGCUCCAGUGUGGAGGCAGAGUACCGUAGCGUGGCCAACGCCGUGGCCGAGUGUGUCUGGCUUCGACAACUCCUCGGCGAGCUCCGCUGCGCGGUCACCACUGCAACGCUGGUCUACUGCGACAACAUCUCCGCCGUGUACCUAUCCAGCAACCCCGUUCACCACCGUGACACCAAGCAUGUCGAGCGAGAGACAAGAGGAUGAGAGUUUGACCCGAGCUGGUGCGGUGGGAUAGUUUUGAUCCAGCGAAAAUGAUGCUGAGUCGUCCGAUCGCGUUCAACGGCCUGGAUCAAAACCCUAGCUGCCAACGGGCUUUUCGGGCCGAAAGUGCAAGCGGGCAGCAGCCGCCGCGCGCGCUGUCGCUGGGCCGAGGACACGGCCGCGGGCGGCCCAGGCCGGGUCGAGGCAUUUCGCGAGGCACGGCGCGCAGGGCAGGCCGUGGGCCGGCUUUUUCCGCUGCGGGCCGAGCGCGCUGGGCCAGCUGCGUUUUCUAUUUUGUUUUUUGUUAUUUGUCCAGUUUUCUGGGCAGAUUUCAAAUAGUUUUUCUAUGCAAAUUUUUCAACGAAAAUUUUGUUUAGACAAUAAAAAAGUAAACAGAAAAAUAGAAAAGUUUCUGAAAAUAAAAUAAAAAUGAAAAUAGAAAAUUUUCAGAAAAAGAAAUGUUCAUGAAUCUUAUAAAGAGAAUAAUAAAGUUUAUGAAUUAUUUUUUUAGUAAAAGAAUUUGUUUCUGAAAAGAAUAAAGUCCAUGAAUUUUGUAUUCAUGUUUUCCGCUGCAAAAUAAAAAUUGUUCUUUUAGAAGUGAAUAGAAUUAAAGUAAAAGAUUAAAAUGUUGCUUCUCGAAUGCAUUUUUGAACCAACAGGUUAAAAUUGCUUAGAGAGUAAAAGAGUACAGAAUUAUUUCUGAAUAGAAUAUUGUAAAGUUUUCGCUGCAUGGUAAAAGUUUUAUCCUCCAAUUAAAUUGGAACCAACGGGAAAACUUAAUUGGAAGAACUGUUUUUAGCAUUGUUUUUCCCUUGUGGGUGAAAUAAGAUGCAGAUAGUUUCCGCUAUGACAAUAGAAAGAUAUUUGUUUUAAAGUUAAAAUAUGGUAUUGUUAUUUUCUUACUAACGUUGAUGAUAACAGUACUAUAAUUCUAUGAGUCUUAUGUUCAAAGCUUAAAUCUCUGAUAAAUUUUGUAUCAAAGUGAUCAUUUUUUAGAGAAGAGUUAAAGAUGAAGAAAUGCUCUUGAACUAGAGGAACGUAUAUUUCUUAUUUCCGCUGCAAUAAAGUUGAUGAUGAUGAUUAUUUCUUAGCAAAGUUGUUUAAUAGAAAUACUAUCAUCACAUUGUUUAUGAGUUAUAUGCAUUAUUUCCAUUUUCGUCCAACGGUGAUAUGGAAUUAAUGUAGAAGAAUGAGUUUUAUUCUAAUUCUACCACAACGGUGAUUUAGAGUAUAAAAAGGAAGUUUUAAAAAGUUUAAUGUGCAUAUUUUUUAACCAGACCAACGUAGGGUUAUUUUUUAUGCUCAUUAUUGUUGAUUAUUGGCUAAGUUUUCUCAGACUAAAAGUUUUCCAUGCUUUCGUUCGUGAAAGCGAAUGGCUGGGUACUUGUUACCCGAAAGAUGACCAAGAAAGGUCAUAACGUGAGGGAGUAUGUUCUCUCUAAAGAAUGGCUUCAAAAGAAAAGAAUUCUUGGAUAUUAAUCCAAGAAAAGAAAACAAAUAGAUCAUUGAGAGUCUUGGUUGACGAAUGUCUUUCAUGUAUCCUAUAUGAAGAAGAUUUUUCAGUCAACAUGAUUUGAGAUGAAACAAGCAACAUGCGUGUUUAAUUUGACCAACGUCGGAUUAAGCAUGUGUGUCAAAGAGCGUUCGGAUUUAUUUCUGAAUUUCAUGAUUGCAUAUGCAGUCAAAAGAGCCAAUUCUGGCAUUUAUGUUCCUUACAGGGAAUUACCCGCAUAGCGGGAAAAGAGGAUUAUGAUAAAACCCGCAUGGCGGGGAAAGUCUGGGAAAAUACCUGCGUUACUGGGUAAAGUUGACAUAGUAUUAUGUCAAAAAUCCUAUACGUCAGGAGAAAUUUUGGCUAAGACUUAUCCUGUGUGACAGGAGAAAGAUAUGAUGACUCAUGUGCGUUUAAUGUGUCCCACUCUGGGAGAAAAGUAUGGAGUAGCUAUUAUGCUUUCCUAGUAUCGACCGUACGCCUUAUGUGUAACGGUCAUUAAGCACUCAAUAAAUCCAAAGAGAAUAAAAGUUACAAACGAACCUAAAGAUAAGAAUGAUAUGCAAGUGUGACUUGCAAAAGUACUAAUGAUAAAGAACUAUUUUGAGUUUCCGAAAUGGAAUGAGGAAUAAGGAAAAAGCUCCCAUACCGUUAACAGAUAAAUUCAUUACAUAUGAAGUAAUCAGAUACAUGAAGUAGAUACUCAAAGUUUCCUCAAUUCACAAGAGUUGUGAAUGGUUUUUCGAAAUUGUGGCAGAAAAGUCCUUGCCACAUUUCGAGGGGGAGAAAGAAAUAUGAGAUAUCCAUUAAUGAAGAAUGUGAUCAUCUGGGGGAGUACGACGAUCAUAAUAAUAUCCCUAAAGAAAAGAAAUAGAUGUAUUCCUGGAUCUUUUACAGUUCCGAAAGCAGACUAAGGAAUACUAAGACGGUGCUUAAAGUGCCAUAAAGAAGAAAGUUUUAACAGAAUAAACCCAAAUAAUAAAGUUUAAAGAUACGCCAUUUUUAGUAAAGAUGGAGUAAUCUGGGGGAGCAUGGUAUGAAAAUACCUAAGACUCGAAUAGAUUGUAUCUGGGGGAGCAUGUUGUAUGACUUAUACAACACCUGUUGUUAGCUCCAUAAAGGAGGAAUGAGUAAACAUGGAUCUUGUGAUACAGGUCCUGUAAUACCUAUUGCUUCUUGGAGAUGAAAGACUAUAGGAUCAAUUUGCCUGUUAGUGGCACAUCAUGAUCGACAUCAUGAUCUGAGUUACAUCAGAUGAAAGUAAAGAACACAAGGGAUACUUCUUCAAGAAGUCUUUUGUGGACUAGAGCAAGUCUCUAGACAGUGGCAUUUAAAGUUAGAAGAAUCAGAUGUUUUUUGGGUUAAAGAAAAUGAGAAGACAAUUGUAUUCAUGCAAAGUUAUAGAACGGGAAAUUUAUUUCCUAAUCCUGUGCAUGUGCAUGACGUCCUACUUGCUAAUGGUGAUGUCAAUCUACUGCAGCAGGAGAAAAGAAGUUCUUGUUCUCAAAGUUCAAAAGAAUGUUCUCAGUAGAGUGACUCUCGUUAUAAUUAUUGAGAUUCACCAAGAAAAAAAAAGGAGGGGGGGGGGGUAUUAGGAGUGUCGCAUGAGCAUACUUUGAAAAGUCUCUAAAAUAUGCAUGUGAGAAAACCUACGCCUGUUCUUAUAGUAAAGGGUAAUGAUUUUGGGAACUUUAGUGUUCCAAGAGUCAAUGUGAAAUAGACCAAAUGAAUAUGGUACCAUAUGCUUCAGCUGUUGGAAGCUUUAUGAAUGCAAAAGUGUAACAUUACCGUGACAUAGUUCACAUAUCCGGGUUGUUUUGGCAAUGUCCAGUACAUAUUUAAAUUGAUGUAAUGGAGUCAAAGAUAUCAGCCUCAUGCUGAAAGAAACAAGUGCUCUCAAAAGGUUGUGAGUACAAAGAUAAAAACUUGUGAAAUGUACAGCGAAAUCCACAAUUGUCGUUGACCUUCACAUUAGGAGUUUUUGUGUGGAAGAACUCUAUAGAAUGAAUCAUUUAUCAUCAAUGUGAUGCAAAUAUAAAGUAUAGCAUGAUAUGAGGCUGAGGGACAGGCAAAAUCGUUAUGGAAACCUGUACCCGGAGUUGAUAAUGGUUGACAGCAGCGAUAACCAUUUAAGUAAUUCACUCCUAUGACAACGAGUCAAGUGUGGUGCCAAACACAUUGACACAAAGUUGUACGUUGUUAAGGAGAAAAGUCCGGAAUUAUGUUGAAAUGCUUGGAGCAUAAAAGCAACAAACAAGUUUUUGCAGAUCUGCUUAUUAAAGGCUUACCGCCCAGUGUGUUUGGAGAACACACAAUCGACAUGGGUUUUAUGGUAUAGUCUAAAAUUUCCGGACAAUAAAAGGGCCCAAGGUUAAAGAAUUUGUUUCAAAACUGAGAGGUACGUUGUGGCUGUCUGAUUCUAUCGGCAAUUGAGCUGUGACGAUGAAACAUGUUCUAUGUACUGAUCUUUUAUGAAACGAGUAAAGUAAAAGUAUAAGGUCAAAAGUAAAAGUUGAGAUCAAGGGGGAGAAUGUUAGGAUGAUCUCCACCGUGUGGGCCCAACGGCCCACCGGGCCCUUAGAUCCGCGCCCUGAUCGGGGGCGCUCAACCCACUAUGGUUGACGGCCCCCAGUCACCUGCACUAUAUAUAUAAAGAGGUGGGGUAGGCGGCUCGAAUUACGAGGUUCGUCGCAACACCGUACACCCCACCUAAUCCCCUACCGAUCUAGGGUUAGUGCAGUGCUGAUGGGAAGCACCGCCACCGCUACUUUCUGCCAUCACCGGCCGUCACCAUGGACGGCACCGGGAGCUCCUCGCCACAAGGCUAAGGUACACACCGAAUAUAGAUUAUAUCCCACUGAUCUACUCCUAAUUGAUCCAGUAAGUUUAUCAUGACGUACUUAAGAUUCACGUAUUUAAAUAUGUGUGGUCUGGUUAUGUGUAUCAUAUGUCUUUUACCAUUUGAGUUUCACAUUUGAUUCCUUUCAUUUCCAGUGUGAUACAUAAAUGAUUGGGGCUUUCCAAUUUGGUGCUGAAAUUUAAGCAGCCACUUCAAUUUAGUGCUAUUCGGCACUGAGAUGCAAUGUAACCAAUUACAGAGCUUUAAUUCAUGAUAGACGAAAAUCGCAGAAUGGUGCAUGUUGUGAUUAAUCAAGUCAUUGGCUUCCCAACGAUGUAUUAUUGGGUCACUUGUGUAGUGUUUAACAUGCCCAUGGGAAUCAAUCAUGUGAUCCUGUGGCUUUCGUGUUGUUCACCUCACCACAUUUGAUGGAUGUCCAGGAGUGGUUCUGGCUAGAUAGGUAAUUUAUUCACCCAUUGUUCUUGUUCUUAUUUGUUUCUUAUGGUGUUGCUAAGUGUACUCAUAAUUAUUCACAAUUACAUGUAAACAUAUUUUGCCAUCCUUUAAGUUUAUCAUUUUUCCCACUGAAAACUGUAGGGCAAUUAUAACGUUGUCUUUUGUAUUAGUUAUGCGCUUAUCCUGCUAUGUAGGUAUAGGAGUUACAUAUUUCGAAUUCGCGCGUGUUAGUUACACAGGUAAGUUUUGCCUUACAAGUAACAUGCUUUCUAGAAUCUUGCUUCCUUUUUAUCAGUUAUUUUGCACUCCGUCUCACUAGAAUCUUCCUUCCUUUUUGUAAUGACUACGUAUUUUGCACUCCGUCUCACACCUUCUUUUCUUUCAUUGGAUCUUACUCUCAAGUUGUCCAAGGUAAUGAUUUUCAGUAUCUCACUGCCCUUAGGAGGGGCUCAUCACAUUUGCUCCUGAUUCCAUGUUGCCAUUUCUAUACAUUAUUUUUGGUUAAUCAAUUUUUGUUCUUCUGACAAGUGCCACUAUUGGCAACUAUCUUCAGUGCUUCUCAAAUGAUGAUAAUUAAAUAAACCUCCCUUGCAAAGAUGGAAAAGACCAUUUAAUUGUUAAUUAGAAGUUGGGAGAAUAUUGUAACCAUUCGCUGGCAGGUUGAUCAAAGAGUUGUCAUCAUGAUUAUUCGCUUAUUUUAAUAUCAAACAUUUUGAGGUAUAUCAAUCAUGGUAAGUUUCUUAGCCUCUUCACAUUGCACGCAUAAUAUCUUUUGCUUUCCUAGGAAUAUGAUAAAUCCAUGACUAGGAUAAACACUGAUAUGUUGAGAUCCCUACUUUUACUAAUAUCCUACUUCUACUGAUGCCACUUUCAACUGAUAUUUAUUCAUGGCUUAAGAUGAACGAUACAUUAUGCAUUGCAUAUGAACCAUAAUUUUGCUGCAGCUUUAGUUGAUAAUCGACAAUAAAAUAUUUCUAUAGUAAUUUGUUGAAUUCUGGAGUAAGCAUGAAAUGCAUUUGCAUGACCUGAGAUUCGCCAAUGUGCUCCUAUUUUUCAAAUAGGAAGGAAUGAAAAGGUGGUUCAGAAUUGAUGGAUAUUCUCCCCCAUGCUUGUUUACAUGUGGCCAUGUUUGUUGCUUAUAUCUCCAUACUUAUGUGUAUUAAUCAGACAUUUGCUCUUUUCUGUUUGUAGACAACUGGAGUGUGUCCUUUGCAUUCACUGCACAUCAGUGCAGUCCAAAUAUUAUAUGCAAUCAAGAAAAACGGAAAAUAUUAAAUAUUACGAGUCAGAUAUCAGAUGCUGGUGUCAGGCAGUGGGCAAAUGGAGAAUGGAGACGAUGAUGCCGCGGUCCAUGGAGCUGUUCGUGACGCACGAUCACGCGGCGAAGGAGCAAGCGGAUUCUCAGCUGACAUGGUUGCAGCUGGAGGAACACCCCGCGUGGUUGAGCAGGGGCACACUUUUGAGAGGUUCGUGUACUUUGUGAGCACAUUGGACAUGCUGGAGAUGGUGAAUAUAUUCUAUGCUAAAAUGUUUCAUCUAGAUGGGGCUAACAAACGUCAAACCUAACUCAUGCCCAUAUAUAUAUAUCUCAUGUAGUGAACUCUAGAUGGAGCCUUGGUAAUACUUUUGUGUGUGAUAUCCCACGUACUGAAUUUCAAGCCUUCCAAUGCUCUUGUGUCACAUAUAGCUUCUCUUUGUUAGCUUCAUUUCCUUUUGGAUUUGGAUUGUCUAACUGAAUUAUGCUCUGUGUGACUCUAAUCACAUAUACUACUUCCUAUAGUGAAUCUGAUUCUCUGUUGUAUACUAACUGUAUUGGUGCCCAGAGGGCCUGAUAUUUGUUCGUCGUCCGAACAAUCUCACCUACUGACAUAUGGAUUUUCUGACAUUGAUCUUGCCUCUAACUCAAGGCAAUGUUCAUCUUCACAAGUAACAGGCAUAGUAGCGCAGAGGGCUGUGCGAGGAGGCGUGGAAAGGCAUGUUCAACGAGUAAUGAACUCUGUCCGACUAAGACAUGUGCUGGUAUGUAAAAUGGACGCACGUGACGAGUCGGGGCACUCAAACAAGACAAGUGCGCACAGGAACGCUUCAGGAGGUGCGCCUGGGGCGCACCCCAACCACUAGUAGAUGACAAGCAACAAUUGGAUCAUCAAUGAAGGUGUGGCGGCAUGUCGCGUACUACACAUAUCUUGUACUUGUCCUCAAUAGGAUGAUGGUGUCAUAUUUCGUAAGCAAAUUAGUAGGUAGGAGAUCAUAUAUGCAAUUAUUUAUAUGUGCAAAAUAUAUUAGCAUGAGUAGUAGAUACACUUGUAUAGAUAUUGCCUUUUCCAUUUUAGACCUUUUAUAGUUGUAUAUGGGGCAUGAGUUGGUAAACAGUACAUCCUUUUCGUAUGCAUUUUAUUCAUCCCAUCAGUGUUUCUAAAACUACUUUGCUACGUUUUUAUUUAACUACUACUCCCUCCGUCCGAAAAAGCUUAUCCCUAAAAUGGAUGUAUCUAGCACCAAAUUAGUGCUAGAUCCAUCCAUUUGAGGAACAAAUAUGGGACAAGCUUUUUCAGACGGAGGGAGUACUAUAAAAUACUACUCCCUCCGUUUCUACAUAUAAGUUUUUUUUUAAAGAUUUCAAUACGAAUUAGAUAGGUAUGUAUAUAAACGUAUUUUACAAUAUAGAUUCACUCAUUUUUAAACGGACCGAGUACUAAAGUACUGACUUCGGUGGGUGAUCUAUCCUCUGGAUCCAUCCAGAGCUUAUCUCUUCACAUGGAUACACGGUAGCUGACCACAUCCACUUCCAACCUCAUCUCUUCGAGGCAGCUAGUGCUGUAGUCCUUGUUCGUCAAAACUGAGACAAAUGGAGGAAGGCAGGAAGGGUAGGUGAGGUGCUGGUGCUGGCCGCAUGGCUGGUACUGGCCGUUGGGCGACGUAGUGUGGCGGGGCUGGAGGGAGCAGCUGCUGGGUGGUGCUCGGCCUCGACGGCCUGGCCUCGGCCGUUCUUGCCGUCGGCCUCGUCCUCGGCGCCGAUUCUUCCCCAUCCAUGGCGCCAAGCCAAGCGUGUGUUCCUGCUCCUCUUUAUUCCUGUGGCGUCGAUUUCCGCCAGCGCUUUGGUCAAAGCCGAGACAAAUGAAGAUGGAGGUGUAGGGGAGGUGCUGGCCAGAUGGCUCGUAAGCAGCUGAAUCUGACCGCGUCAGUCGGCGGUCGAGCAGACAGCAGCAACUGCGCUGCUCCUGCUCGUUGGAGUGGCGCCCGUGGCAACACCACCGCCGCGGCUGCACCCCUGCCGGCCUCGGGAACCUCCAUGGCUGACCUCACACAGCGCCGCCCCGUUCUGGCCUCAAACGCGCAGUCCCGCGCCAUUCCUCUCCACCUUGCACCGCCGUGGCCUUCACUUGCCUCCUGCCUGUACUCCCAGCCACGGCGACCUCCUCCUCCGUGGUUGAGAACCCCAUCGCCUCGGCUGACCUCUCGUGGGUGCUGCCAUGUUCGAGUAGUACAAGCUCCACUCCGCUCUCCUCGAACGACGCUACCGCCACAACCUCUGCUCCGGCGAGCCCUACGUCCCCUCCUGCAGCUUUCGAAUCACCAUGGCCACGGCCUCGGCGCUGCUCUUCCUCCAUCCAUGGCAAGCGCAGCCAAGCCUGUACCUGCUCCUCGUCUUCACUUCCCUGGCACCUCCAGCAGGCACAUCCCACGAUCUGGCAGACGCCGGAGCUGCGAGGUGGGAGGAGGGGAGGGGGAGGGCUGGCGCGGCGAAGGAGGUCCUGGGCGAGGGAGGCGCGGACGGCGGCGAAGAGAAGGGCCGCCGGGAGUGGUCGCGAGUCGACCACCUCGCAGUCGCCGGGGAUCUGGAGGCCGGCCGGCGGAGAUCACCAUAUCUGUUUUCUAUUUCUAUCAGGCGGCGGAUGCGGUGGGUUGGGGGCGACGGGGGUGUUGCGUCCGUCCGGGUCCUAUGAACGAGCGAUUCGUUUUUUUACUGUACGAAUAUCUUAAAUCGGGAGUGCGGGUUAAUUGCACGAAAUAGCACGGGCUUUUCCGCAAAAAGCACGACGACGGUGAGAGAGCCGGAGUAUAUAUAAAUUAGGGAUUAGGGAUAGGGAUUAGGGAUUAGGGAUUAGGGAAAGAUAGCGGUCCCUUUUAUCCACUAACCAGGAGUAUGAAAUUACCCAAAAUAGGGACAUGUAGUUUUGAUCUCUGUCACAACCUUUUUUUACUCCCUACUAUUUUUUUCCUAAUAUACAUAUGAGAAACAAUUUAUUUUUUUAGUUUUGAUCUCUUUCACAGCCUUUUUCUUAACUCCUACUAAUUUGUUCCCGAUAUAUAUAUACCAUGAGAAAAAAUUUAUUUAUUUAUGGCGGUCACUUUUAUCCUCCAACCAGGAGUGUUAAAAUGCCCAAAAAUAGGAACAUGUAUUUUUUUAUCUAUGUCGCAGCCUUUUUUUUAACUCCUACUAUUUUUCCUGAUAUACAUACGAGAAACAAUUUAUUUAUUUAUUUAUUUAUAGCAGUCACUUUUAUCCUCCAACUAGGAGUAUGAAAAUGCCCAAAAUAGGGACAUGUAGUUUUGAUCACUGUCACAAUCUUUUUUUACCCCCUACUAAUUUUUUCCUGAUAUAUAUACAAGAAACAAUUUAUUAUUUAGUUUUGAUCUCUUUUGCAGCCUUUUUUUUAACUCCUACUAAUUUUUUCCAGAUAUAUACGUAUAUACCAUGAGAAACAGUUUAUUUAUUUAUGGCGGUCAUUUUUAUCCUCCAACCAGGAGUGUUAAAAUGCCCAAAAAUAGGAACAUGUAUUUUUUAUAUAUGCCAUAGUUUUUUAACUCCUACUAUUUUUUCCUGAUAUAUAUACAAGUUAUUUAUUUAUUUAUAGCUGUCACUUUUAUCCUCCAACCAGGAGUAUGAAAAUGCCCAAAAUAGGGACAUGUAGUUUUGAUCUCUGUCACAACCUUGUUUCUACUCCCUACUAAUUUUUCUCUAAUAUAUAUAUGAGAAACAAUUUAUUUAGUUAGUUUUGAUCUCUUUCACAACCUUUUUUUAACUCCUACUAAUUUUUUCCAGAUAUAUAUACACACACCAUGAGAAACAGUUUAUUUAUUUAUGGCGGUCAUUUUUAUCCUCCAACCAAGAGUGUUAAAAGGCCCGAAAUAGGUAUACACAAGAGGGAGAAUUCUGGCAGCUGGAAAUCUGGACCUGGAAAAGCUACGUUAGGCCACCUAUUCU